GCACACUCACUCAAGUUGACUAGUCUAUUUCCUUCCUGUACAUUUCAGCUUGCUCCUUCCAGGAAAACCAGAAAAUGCCCCAAGUGAGGACAGCCUCGAAGAAGAGGAUGUCUGUCGUCCUUAGCAGAAGAGGACUUUUGGGUAUACAGAGGCACCAGGGAUGCAUGCACAGAGGAAAGACCAGGAAAAAGCAGCAUGAAGGCCAGAGGCGCUUCAUGUCCAUUUUAAGCUACAAAAACACCCAGCCAGGCUCUGAAACCCCAACUUGGAGGGGCCCAACUCAAGUUGGCCCAGAAGCCAUUCAUGAUUCUCUCAACCCACUGAUCUAGUCCUUCCCUGGAUUCUUAUGAACUCAAGUUAUGUCUUGGUUGUGGCAGAUGGUAUGUUUCCAAAGAAGAUGGAGCCUCAUGUCCCACCCACAGACUCUUCUGCAGUGGAAACUGGCCACUCCCCCAACAAGAGGUGGAGUCCAGUUCUCCUCUCUUUGGUUUGGGCUGACCUUAUGGACUUGUUUGUAAUUAGUAGGAUGCAGUAGAACUGACUCCUUGUGACUUCCAAGUCUAGGUGAGAAUGGCCCUGCAGCCUCCACUGGUCCUGCUGGGAAGCUCAUUCUCUGGAUGCUCACUCCUGGGACACUCCUUCUUGGGACCCAGCCACCAUGCUGGGAGAAGCCUUAGACAUAUGAAAAGGCCACAUAUGGAUGCUCUGGGUGACAGUGGUCCCAGUCCAGAUACCAACAUGUAAGUGAACAAGCCUCCAUAUGACUCCAGCCCCUAAGCCUUUCGAGUGUUCCCAGUUAAGGCUCCAGAUAUUGUAGAGCAGAGCAAAGCCAUGUCCAGGCCUGUGUCCUUUUGUGCAGCAAGAGAUUCUGGGAACACAGGGCUCUGCAAAGUGCACAACACAAAGACUUGUUCAUUCAACAGGGGAAGGACUCGGCCUUAUUAGUGGUAUCCCAAGCCCAGUGGGGCCCCUAGCUGAGGGGGCGCUGCAAAGUGGGAUCGAAGGGCUCAGUCAGGGCAGGAAAUCAAAGUGGUGGUGGUCUGUUGCUGCCUGUGUGGCCCCAGUCCUGGGGACUUGUGCAUGGAGAAGUUUGGGAUCUCCAAGUGUACUUUGACUACAGAACCCCCGACAGCCACACAGAAGCCUACAGGCCUAGGCCCCAAGUGAAUGAACACUGUGGCCACUCCCACCCCACCCCCAUCCUCCAAGAAGAAAAAGAGAAGGAGCGAAAAAGGCAGAGAGGGUACACUCUGACACUCCCUGCUGGAGAGUAGGAUGGUGGAAAUGGGGAAUAAAGGUUCAUGCCAUCUUUAC
rnacentral:lncRNA from 10 species